GACGAACGCUGGCGGCGUGCUAAUACAUGCAAGUAGAACGCUGAAGGAGGAGCUUGCUUCUCUGGAUGAGUUGCGAACGGGUGAGUAACGCGUAGGUAACCUGCCUGGUAGCGGGGGAUAACUAUUGGAAACGAUAGCUAAUACCGCAUAAGAGUAGAUGUUGCAUGACAUUUGCUUAAAAGGUGCAAUCGCAUCACUACCAGAUGGACCUGCGUUGUAUUAGCUAGUUGGUGGGGUAACGGCUCACCAAGGCGACGAUACAUAGCCGACCUGAGAGGGUGAUCGGCCACACUGGGACUGAGACACGGCCCAGACUCCUACGGGAGGCAGCAGUAGGGAAUCUUCGGCAAUGGACGGAAGUCUGACCGAGCAACGCCGCGUGAGUGAAGAAGGUUUUCGGAUCGUAAAGCUCUGUUGUAAGAGGAGAACGAGUGUGAGAGUGGAAAGUUCACACUGUGACGGUAUCUUACCAGAAAGGGACGGCUAACUACGUGCCAGCAGCCGCGGUAAUACGUAGGUGGCAAGCGUUAUCCGGAUUUAUUGGGCGUAAAGAGAGUGCAGGCGGUUUUCUAAGUCUGAUGUGAAAGCCUUCGGCUUAACCGGAGAAGUGCAUCGGAAACUGGAUAACUUGAGUGCAGAAGAGGGUAGUGGAACUCCAUGUGUAGCGGUGGAAUGCGUAGAUAUAUGGAAGAACACCAGUGGCGAAGGCGGCUACCUGGUCUGCAACUGACGCUGAGACUCGAAAGCAUGGGUAGCGAACAGG
rnacentral:rRNA from 1 species